UACGUAGGGGGCAAGCGUUAUCCGGAUUUAUUGGGUGUAAAGGGCGUGUAGGCGGGAAUGCAAGUCAGAUGUGAAAACUCAGGGCUCAACCCUGAGCCUGCAUUUGAAACUGUAUUUCUUGAGUGCUGGAGAGGCAAUCGGAAUUCCGUGUGUAGCGGUGAAAUGCGUAGAUAUACGGAGGAACACCAGUGGCGAAGGCGGAUUGCUGGACAGUAACUGACGCUGAGGCGCGAAAGCGUGGGGAGCAAACAGG
rnacentral:rRNA from 1 species